CGCUGCCACUCCUGUAAACUCACCAUUCAGAUCCAAAUAGUUGGUACUACUCAGUGAUGUAUCACCAAAGACAGAGGUUGUUGUAGGGAAUGCUGGAGCCACAGUGCAGUGGAGAAGAUUUAAGAGAUCAGGCGCUGAUAGAAGCAUCCCAGGUCGCAGUUUCCACUGGUUGCAUAUCUUGCUCCAAAUCAAUUCCUAGUUGAUGCUGAAGGUGGUUGAUUGCUCUUGCAGCUUCAGAGGAAAGAUUGGUCGAAUUGCACCAUUUGGGGAUCUCGUCCUCAUGAGAUUUUACCCCACAACUCCUAACUGCUAGCAUGCACAGUGGCACCAAGAGAGCUUUCAGUCGCCAAGUCUCGCAACAUAGGACCAUAACAAGAACAAACUCAACGGGAAGAGGCACAAACAUCCUCUGAUCUGGAUCAAGUCCAGCUGAGGUGAUGCCAAACCAAGAAGCAGAAACUGCGAAGUGUAGUAGGCUGAGUUCGGUGGAGUUUAAUGUGCUACGCUGUUAAUCUCUACGGUUUUCUCACGUUCUGACACUGGGUACUGGGCAGACAGCCUCCUGCUGUGCUGGACCUGUUUGGACCGAGACCAGAAGAAGUUGCAGGAUGUUUUAAAGGGAGAGGACGACGUCUCAUGCCCUCCUUGCUUCGGCUGGAUUCUCGGUGGGUCUAGGCAUGCGGAAUGCAUUGGCAGGUUCUGCGGCGCACCCGCGUAACGGCAUUCUUCUGCGCGAAGGAGUUCGAGUGUACGGCUCCAUGCCGCAACUCCCAGUUGAAAAAGCGUCCCUUCCACUGAAACAUGAUUCUGUUUCAUUUGUUGACCUCCUUUGUUUUCUCCCCGGAGGUCAGUCAGGUUCUUGGUCUCUCUCACCUCUCCAUGUACUACUGUAGUACAUGGCUACAUGCCCGUUAUGGUGUUCGGUUAGUGUGAUAUUCUGAUUUCUGUUUGUACGAUGCAUGCAAUAUGCUGCUGUGCGCAGAAGUUUGU